rnacentral:lncRNA from 1 species
GGGUUUCAUCCUCCACUCUACUGACUCCUGACUGUGGAAAGCAGGCAACAGAUGGUGGUGUGGAGCAGAAAAGGAGCUGAGAGAAUUAGAUUGCCGCUCCUUCUUCUCCCCUUCCUUCGACUUAAGUUACAAAUGUCUUCAGGCAAACAGAAAUCUGUCAUUAAUUUCAAAACAGUGUCUUUCAAGCAGCUUGUCAAAUCUCUUAGUGGGUGCUUGUUUCCACUUACAGAAUUCUUGUUUUGCAGAAGUUUAGUAGAAACAAUGUCAGAACUACUGGUCUUUCUCCUUUUAUGUUUGUCUAAAGGCACAAAAAUAUUCUUCAAUAAGAAACUGAGUAGUGCCAGCCAGUGGUGGCACACGCCUUCAAUCCCAACACUCAGGAGGUAGAGGCAGGCAAAUUUAUGUGAGUUUGAGGCCAGCCUGGUUGACAUAGUGAGUUUCAGGACAGCCAGAGAUACAUGGAAAAACCCUAUCUCUAAAUAAAUAAAUAAAAGGCUAAAAGACAAACAAACAAGAAAUAAUGAAAGAAAGAAUCUGAGUAUAGUGUCAUAUUUCUGUAAUGCUAACACUUGGGAGAUAAAGACGGGAGGAUAAGAAGUUCAAGAUCCUUCAACAUGCAGAAGGCAGAGGCAGGUGGAACUCUGAGAGUUUGAGGCCAGCCUGGUCUACAGAGUGAGUUCCAGGACAACUAAAUCAUUCUUGAAAACAAAACAAAAAAUAAGAAAGAAACCCAAGAAAGUCAAGGUCAUUCUUGGCCAUAUAUCAAAUUUAAGACCACCCUGGGCUAAUGAGAUCCUAUCUCAAAUUACAACAAAAUUCUCUGAUAAAAAUGUUUCAAUUUUGGUUAGCUAUGGUGGUUCAUGCUUUUAGAUUCAGCAGCUUGAGACGCUGGUGCAGGAUUACCGGCCUGGAUAAUUCAUCAAGACCACAGUUUAAAAAUAAGUUAUAGGUUUGUUUUUUAUAUUUAGUUUUUCAUAUAUUUGGAUUUUAAAAAUAAUUUUAUUUUAUCUGUAUAUAUCUGUAUGAGUGCAUGCCAUGUGUGUGACGGAGACCAGAAGAGGGCAUUAAAUUUCCUGGAGUUGUGAAGAGGCCUAACUUAACAUCAGUACAGCCACGACUGGCUGCAGACUAACAAUACUGUAACUAGGCCUCACCCUUACAAUAACCAGGAAAAACCAUAGACUGCACCCGGCAGGGGAAAAAUCAGAAUGGAGCCAAACAAAUACUAGAUACUCUAGAACAUUAAGAAUAGCUUACCUAACUUGUAUAUAGUUUGUCAAUUUCCUUACAGCAACGCCAGUACCAAUCCCUGUUUGAUAAGACUUCUGUUACUCACUCCUGCCCAAUCAGGAGUUCAACCCCCAUCUGAAUCUGGAAUUCCCUUCCCAUCCUUUACUUCUUUAAAAAACCCUGCCAUAGAUGAGCUUAAGGCUCUCCAAUAUCCAACUUCUCAAGUCCUCUGCAAAAGCAGGAGGUGAUUUUUAAAGGGUUCAAUUCUAAUUUCUUCUUCAGCUGUGGAUCAUUGGCUAGUGUAAUAUGAUUUUGACUGUAUGGGGGUUUUUGAUGGAAAGUUUGUCAUGUUGCCUUAAAUGUGUAUACACCUAGCUGUCCAAUCUGGUCCACGGGCGGGCUCACUAGUCCUUAGGCACUUGACAUGGUAUGUAAUACUGUGUCUGUUUGUUUUUUUAAGAGGUCUUGAUAUCAGUUCUUUAAACUAUCUUGGCUUUUUAAUCUUUCACAAGAUCUAAAGGUGCUACAGAAUAAGUCUAUUGGUACAUUGUUUGAAAUUUUAUUUUAUUUUUUUCGAGACAGGUUUUCUCUGUGUAGCUUUGGAGCCUAUCCUGGCACUCACUCUGUAGACCAGGCCUCGAACUCACAGAGAUCCACCUGCCUCUGCCUCCAAGUGCUGGGAUUAAAGGCGUGCGCCACCAAUGCCUGGAGGAAUUCUAUUUUUAAUAUUGGAUUUUUGGUCAAUGGAUAUGUAUUCUGAGAAGAGGAACCUCAAUUGAGAAACUUCUGCCACCAGAUUGGCCUGUGGCUGUGGCCCCUUACGUCCUGAUGAAGACCUAGUUGCUACCAAACGGAAGAGGAGCUGUGGAUUUCCCUUGGCUCCACCAUCACUAGUCUGUGGAGUACCUCAGCCGCAUGCUGGCAGCUCAAUGCUUGGGUCUGUCACACAUCUCCUCAAGUAGCUUUGACAUAACAAGAUGACAUCUUCUAAUUCCUAAAGCUGAGAUGUGGGGAGAAAGCAGCUUCCAUCACUUGGUAUUUUCCUCGGCUCGAGGAGGAAUUCUUCCCAGGACUUUCAAGCCCCUCCACCAUCCCUUGUCCCGAGUUUUUCUGUGAAGAGAAGGAAUUACUUCAGGUCACUAGCUUAUGUCAAGACAUUGCAGCUCGUCUGUCCACCAAGGCAAAGCACGUGCUGGGCCUUAGGCAAAGAUAGACCCUAACAGUGCCACUCUCAGAGGGCGCUCAGGGAGCUCCAUACUCAACUUUCAACUCUGGCCCUGGUGUUAUGAAUGCAGCCUGUGUGAGCUUUGUGGAAACUUCAGAAGUUAUUCGGAGACUCUAAGGGAUGUAAUGAAAGACCCCUGCCCCUUAGCCCUUUCUUUCUCAAGUUUGCCUCCUCCUCCGGUCGGCGGCUUCCCCGAUCCCCACCCCCCGCCGGCCUCCACUUUCCC